UACGGAGGGGGCUAGCGUUGUUCGGAAUUACUGGGCGUAAAGCGCACGUAGGCGGACUGUUAAGUCGGGGGUGAAAUCCUGGGGCUCAACCUAAGAAUUGCCUCCGAUACUGGCAGUCUCGAGUGCGGGAGAGGUGAGUGGAAUUCCCAGUGUAGAGGUGAAAUUCGUAGAUAUUGGGAAGAACACCAGUGGCGAAGGCGGCUCACUGGCCCGUAACUGACGCUGAGGUGCGAAAGCGUGGGGAGCAAACAGG
rnacentral:rRNA from 1 species